GGCACCCUCUGGGACGGGGUGCACUUGGAGGUCCCAGUAGGUAACGCUGUCGCAGUCUGGCGGCUCAUUUCUGAGGGCGGGGGCGCGCCU